rnacentral:rRNA from 1 species
CCUACGGGAGGCAGCAGUGAGGAAUUUUGGACAAUGGGCGAAAGCCUGAUCCAGCUAUAUCGCGUGAGUGAAGAAGACUGAUUUGGUUGUAAAACUCUUUUAUCAAGUAGUAGAUUAUGACAGAACUUGAGAAAAAAGUCCCGGCCAACUUCGUGCCAGCAGCCGCGGUAAUACGGGGGGGGCAAGCGUUAUUCGAAAUGACUGGGCGUAAAGAGCACGUAGACGGUCUAUACCAGUAAGUUUAUAAAAUACCAUAGCUCAACUAUGGAAAAAUAUACAGUACUGUUGGACUUGAGUGAGUGAGAGGAGAAUGGAAUUCCUGGAGAAGAGGUUAAAUUUGUUGAUAUCAGGAGGAACACCGAAAGCGAAGGCAAUUCUCUGGCACUGUACUGACGUUGAGGUGCGAAAGCGUGGGGAGCAAAAGGGAUUAGAUACCCCGGUAGUC